rnacentral:lncRNA from 1 species
GUUCAAAGAAAUAAUUUGGUCAAUUUGGAAACUACCUUUAGCCUUCUUCCUACCACCACCAAAGCUUCCAGCUCAACUCAGAAUAUUUGUCUAACCAUAUCUCCUCACCCAGCUUCUACCUAUGCAAUCCCUCCACAAAUGCCAUCAGUAUACACCAUCAAUCCCAAUAACUUUCAAGUCACCAUGAUGCCAAAUAUCCAUCCUCCCGCAAUUGUAUUUCCUUUAAAUGAAAACAAGCAUGACCAAUUAGCC